UGUCACAAUCAUUGAGGCCUGAGCAGGUGAAACAGGUGGUGAGUUUAUCCUUGGUCAGAGUUGUGGUUGCAGAGGAACCUGGAGAGAGAGAGGAAGCCCUAGGAUUACUUGCAAAGAGAGAGAGAGAUACCUAAGUGGCCUCCAUUGAUGCCUUGUUUGCUGUACUAUUCACUACUGAGAUCUUCAGCCAGCAUAUAAAGGGCCCUGAGGCAGCCAUGCUGUGAAGAAGCCCAGUCUAACCAAUGGGGAAAAAUCACAUCGGAGAGGCCCAGAGUCUACACAUGUGAGUUGCUCUGGGACCUGCAUUUCCAGCUCCGGCCACCCUCUGCCUGGGAAUCCCAUGAGACUCAGAACCAUCCAGUUGAGCUCUUUCACAAUUCCCAACCUAGAGAAAGAGUUAAUAAAAUGAUGGCCAUUAUUUUAAGCCACUGCCUUUGUGAGUGAUUCACUAAAUAGCAAGAGCACCAGAGCACCACCUACUAAUGAACCUCGGCACUCGUUUGCGCAGCCCUCCUUCCCCGACCAACCCCCACCACAACCCAGAGCAUUUUCCUGUGAAGUGGGAUCAGCCUGGUCUCAGCCACCUCCUUCCAACCCCUGAAGACACAUUCUGAGGAGCAGCAACCAGAGCCGAAGAGAGAACACAAGCAGGGAGAGUGGUAGGCAGAGGCAGAGGGAGAAGCAGGCUCCCUGCUGAGCAGAGACCACGAAGUGGGGCUUCAUCCAGGACCCCAGGAUCAUGACCUGAACCGAAAGCAGAUGCUUAACCAACUGAGCCACCCAAGCGCCCCACACUGCUCUGCUCAAGUAGCCCUCAAGGGAGCUCUUCUCCUAAGGAGAAAUAAAAGUUUGAGGCUCCUCUCCAGCCCCUCAAUAACUCAGUGAGUGCAACUAUUUCUGCAGUGCCUGCUACAUGCCAGCCUUGUGCUCGAAGGCACCCCCUGCAAAACUUAGUUCACACCCAUUUUCCAGAUGAGAAUACUGAGGUUCUCCUUUCUCUGGUCAGCCAGGCAGAGCUGGAAAUUGAGGUCAAGUUCCCCCAACACCCUACCUGGGGCUGUGACCCCCAAGUCCUGCCAACAAACCUUGUCGGGUGGCCUUGCUGCAGUUGUCCUCACAACAGGCCAUGCUGACCCAGAGACUCAAGUCGGGGCCAUAGGUCAGGGAGUAGACACCUUCUCGGCAUUCCCCAGGGGCGACACAUGACCCGUUCUUGAUGAGAUUCCCAUUUUCUGGGGACAGAGGUUGUGGA